rnacentral:rRNA from 1 species
GACGAACGCUGGCGGCGUGCUUAACACAUGCAAGUCGUACGGUAAGGCCCUUUCGGGGGUCCACGAGUGGCGAACGGGUGAGUAACACGUGAGUAACCUGCCCACAACUUUGGGAUAACGCUAGGAAACUGGUGCUAAUACUGGAUAUGUGCUCCUGCUGCAUGGUGGGGGUUGGAAAGCUCCGGCGGUUGUGGAUGGACUCGCGGCCUAUCAGCUUGUUGGUGGGGUAGUGGCCUACCAAGGCGGCGACGGGUAGCCGGCCUGAGAGGGUGACCGGCCACAUUGGGACUGAGAUACGGCCCAGACUCCUACGGGAGGCAGCAGUGGGGAAUAUUGCACAAUGGGCGCAAGCCUGAUGCAGCAACGUCGCGUGCGGGAGGACGGCCUUCGGGUUGUAAACCGCUUUCAGCAGGGACGAAGCUUUUUGUGACGGUACCUGCAGAAGAAGCACCGGCUAACUACGUG